rnacentral:tRNA from 1 species
UCCCUGGUGGUCUAGCGGUUAGGACUCUGCACUUUUACCACUGUGUCCCAGGUUGAAUCCCUGGUCUGGGAA